rnacentral:rRNA from 1 species
GUUGUAUGGUUAAGUGACUAAGCGUACACGGUGGAUGCCUUGGCAGUUGGAGGCGAUGAAGGACGUAUUAACUUGCGAUAAGCCUAGUCAAGCUAGUAAAAAGCACUUGAGACUAGGAUUUCCGAAUGGGGAAACCCACCUGCUUGCAGGUAUCGUUAACUGAAUACAUAGGUUAACGAGGCGAACGCGGAGAACUGAAACAUCUAAGUACCCGUAGGAAAAGAAAUCAACCGAGAUUCCGAAAGUAGCGGCGAGCGAAAUCGGAACAGCCCUUAAGCUUAUUAUGUGUUAAUGGAAGGCUCUGGAAAGUGCCACGAUACAGGGUGAUAGUCCCGUACAUGAAAAGACAUUUUAAGUGAAAUCGAGUAGGUCGGAGCACGUGAAACUUUGACUGAAUAUAGGUGGACCAUCAUCUAAGGCUAAAUACUCCCAACUGACCGAUAGUGAACCAGUACCGUGAGGGAAAGGCGAAAAGAACCCCUGUGAGGGGAGUGAAAUAGAACCUGAAACCGUGUACGUACAAGCAGUAGGAGCAGACUUGUUCUGUGACUGCGUACCUUUUGUAUAAUGGGUCAGCGACUUAUAUUUUGUAGCGAGGUUAACCGAUUAGGGUAGCCGUAGGGAAACCGAGUCUUAACUGGGCGAAUAGUUGCAAGGUAUAGACCCGAAACCCGGUGAUCUAGCCAUGGGCAGGUUGAAGGUUGAGUAACAUCAACUGGAGGACCGAACCCACUAACGUUGAAAAGUUAGGGGAUGACCUGUGGCUAGGAGUGAAAGGCUAAUCAAACCGGGAGAUAGCUGGUUCUCCCCGAAAUCUAUUUAGGUAGAGCCUCGGACGAAUACUUACGGGGGUAGAGCACUGUUAAGGCUAGGGGGUCAUCCCGACUUACCAACCCUUUGCAAACUCCGAAUACCGUAAAGUACUAUCCGGGAGACACACGGCGGGUGCUAACGUCCGUCGUGAAGAGGGAAACAACCCAGACCGCCAGCUAAGGUCCCAAAGUCAUAGUUAAGUGGGAAACGAUGUGGAAAGGCCCAGACAGCCAGGAGGUUGGCUUAGAAGCAGCCAUCCUUUAAAGAAAGCGUAAUAGCUCACUGGUCGAGUCGGUCUGCGCGGAAGAUGUAACGGGGCUAAACUAUGCACCGAAGCUGCGGAUUCAUACUUUGUAUGAGUGGUAGGGGAG